rnacentral:misc_RNA from 1 species
UGAGUUGGCAGCCCCAUCAAAGAGCAGGCGGAAUUUGCUUUUGAAAAUCAACAAGAAAGUGGUAAGAGGAAAUAAUUUGGAGUUGGGAGAUGACUGCACAACGUCGCACCCUGGUGCACUGGUUUCGCAAGGGGCUCCGCGUCCACGACAAUCCUGCGCUGUUCCAAAUUUUCGAAGUAGCCCGCGCCGCACCAGAGAAGUUCUAUGUGCGACCCAUCUUUAUCCUGGAUCCUGGCAUCUUGGAUUGGAUGCAGGUGGGCGCAAACCGUUGGCGCUUUCUUCAGCAAUCGCUCUCUGACCUGGACCAGCAACUCAGGGCGCUCAAUACUAGGCUGUUUGUCGUACGCGGCAAGCCCGUUGAUAUUUUCCCCGGGCUCUUCGAGCGUUGGCAAGUGCAGCUCUUAACUUACGAGACGGAUAUUGAACCCUAUGCAGUAUUGCGUGAUGCAGCUGUACAGCAAUUGGCGGCUUCUCAGGGUGUAAAAGUGGAUACCCAUUGUUCACAUACAAUCUAUAAUCCCGAAUUGGUCAUAGUCAGGAAUCUGGGCAAACCUCCGAUUACUUAUCAAAAAUUCUUGGGCAUUGUGGAGAAAUUGAAGUUGCCAAAAGUGCUGAAUAAGCCGAAGAAGCUGCCUGAUGGCAUGCAACCGUUGGCAGACUCGGAUAUUUACGACUAUCCCACAUUGGAGCAGUUAGUCAAGCGACCCGAGGAUUUAGGCAUCAAUAAAUUUCCAGGUGGUGAAUCGGAGGCACUUCGUCGCAUGGAGGCAUCUCUAGCUGACGAGCAGUGGGUAGCCAAAUUUGAGAAGCCAAAAACGGCGCCCAAUUCACUGGAGCCCAGUACAACGGUGCUCAGUCCGUAUUUAAAAUUUGGUUGCCUAAGCGCACGGUUAUUCCAUGAGCGGCUCCAAGAGAUUCUGGCACGGCAGCCGAAGCACUCAAAGCCACCAGUUUCCCUCGUGGGUCAGUUGCUGUGGCGGGAGUUUUAUUACACAGUUGCCGCAGCUGAGCCAAAUUUCGAUCGGAUGCUGGGCAAUGCAUACUGCUUGCAAAUACCGUGGCAGGAACAGCCGGAGCAUCUGGAGGCUUGGGCGCACGGACGUACUGGAUAUCCGUUUAUCGAUGCGAUUAUGCGACAAUUGCGCCAAGAGGGCUGGAUCCAUCAUUUGGCGCGACAUGCGGUUGCCUGUUUCCUGACACGCGGCGAUCUCUGGAUCAGCUGGGAGGAGGGUCAGCGUGUGUUCGAGCAGCUGCUCCUGGAUCAGGACUGGGCCCUAAACGCUGGCAACUGGAUGUGGCUGUCGGCCUCAGCGUUCUUUCAUCAGUACUUUCGGGUCUAUAGCCCCGUUGCGUUCGGCAAGAAAACCGAUCCCAAAGGUGACUACAUAAAGAAAUAUGUACCCGAAUUGGCCAAAUAUCCAGCCAAAUGCAUCUAUGAGCCCUGGAAGGCAACACUUGGUGAACAGAGAGAUUAUGGCUGUGUGCUGGGCAGCGAUUAUCCGCACCGCAUUGUUAACCAUGACGUCGUCCACAAGGAGAACAUUAAACGCAUGAGCGACGCCUACAAAGUGAAUCGAGAAGUGCGAACGGGCAAACAGGAAGAAGGGCACGAGGAGGAAGAGGAAUAUGAAGAGCACCCAACUGGAAAGCGCAAAGCUAGCUCAAAAGUCACAGGCUCAAAACUCAAACACAAACUCUUAAAAUGAGAGAUACUAUCACAUGAAAGGCAUGUCCAAUGGAGAACCUGUCUGACAAAGGAUUCCUUUUUAAAGCAAAUCCAUGGCUACAAGUGAGGAUUAAAUUCAUUUCGAUGACAAGUGACUAACUUCAGGGACAUCAACUUGAAUGUUAAGUUUCCAAAUUGGCAUCCUGAUCAAUUUCGAAUGGAUUUCUGAUGAACAAGGGGGCCCAAAUAGCCUUUAUAUUUGUGAAUAGGCGCAGAAGACAAAAAUUUGAAUUUAUAUGCUUA